UAGGGAAUCUUCCACAAUGGGCGGAAGGCCUGAUGGAGCAACGCCGCGUGUGUGAUGAAGGGUUUCGGCUCGUAAAACACUGUUGUAAGAGAAGAAUGACAUUGAGAGUAACUGUUCAAUGUGUGACGGUAUCUUACCAGAAAGGGACGGCUAAAUACGUGCCAG
rnacentral:rRNA from 1 species